AUUUUUUUCAGAUUCUGGCAAGACAGAGAUCAACUUGGGCGCAAAUAGCAGCUUUGUCUGAGCAACGAACACCGUCUCUCGAUGGUCGGCGAUACAGGAGAAAAAAAAAAGCUUCAUUGAGCUGUUCUUGAUUUAGUGGUGGUAAGUUUUUUUUUUUUUUUGGGCAGAAAAAAAUGCAGAAACCCUAGACAGCGGGCACCAACCAAAGCCAUUUCCUUUCAGCUUUAUCUGCAUUGGAUCAAAAGCUUUUUGAGGGCUUGUCUUCUUCUAGAUCCAUUUGUGUAUCUUAUUUCGGUCUCGUUUUCUGUUUGUUUUUUUGCUUUUAAAUCCGUUCUCUGGAACCUCCGUAUUACAUUAUGCGACGUAUUUUGCUGUCGUUUUGAUGUCUC